UACAGAGGUCUCAAGCGUUGUUCGGAUUCAUUGGGCGUAAAGGGUGCGUAGGCGGCGCGGUAAGUCGGGUGUGAAAUCUUGGAGCUUAACUCCGAAACUGCAUUCGAUACUGCCGUGCUUGAGGACUGGAGAGGAGACUGGAAUUUACGGUGUAGCGGUGAAAUGCGUAGAUAUCGUAAGGAAGACCAGUGGCGAAGGCGGGUCUCUGGACAGUUCCGUGACGCUGAGGCAACGAAGGCCAG
rnacentral:rRNA from 1 species